CGGGGCGGCCCCGAGCCGCCUGCAGCGGCGCCGCGCCGGGCGCCCUCGGCCUUCCCGUCCCGCUCUCCGGCCUCAGCGCCUCCCCGGGGCCGUGCGGGAGUCUCGGGGGCUCCGGGUCGCUUGUGCUGAACUCGGGAGAUCAUCGUGUGCCAAGCACAGGCACCGCUGUGUGCUUGCGAGGGAGCGUGAGGCGCCCCCGGCGAGGAGCCCAGCCCGCCGAUGCGGGCAGCACGGGAGGAUGCAGGCGACGGGAGGAGCUGUCGCGCAGGAUGUUCCCCGUUGUGCACGGACUGACGUGUGCAGCACAUGAUGUCUUCAGAAGAGGACUUUCCAGAGGAUGCCAGCUUUUCCUCCGGCAUCAGCACCAGCCGGCUGCAGCAGGAAAUGCCGCCAGAUGCCUCCAAAGACCUGCGGUGCUCCAUCUGCCUCAACACACUUGACGACACCGCCUACAUCACCGUCUGCAUGCACCGGUUCUGCUUCAGCUGUAUCUGGCAGAUAUGCAGGCGACGGGAGGAGCUGUCGGGUGAGUGCCCCCCAGCAGCGAGGGAGCAAAGCUAAAGCCCGAGGUGGCACGGGGGGGCCUGAGCAGCCUGCUCCCAGGGCCUCGGCUGUGCCUGCGGUGUGCGCAGCAGGGGGUCCCCCAGCGGUGCCUUCCUCCUUCUGGAGGCAUGGUGGCCCUGGGAGCAUCUGCAAAGCCCCAGGUCCAAGGUGGUUGGAGGGGGGCUGUUUCUGGGGCUGUGCAAUGGGUGCAGGUGCUGCGCUGCAGAGGCAGCAGCUGGCGCAUGCUCCACCCACAGGAAAGGCCCGUGCGCUCAAAGAAGCAGGAGCGCAGUUACAGCUGAGCUCCGGGGUGGGCCAGCCUCAGGGACAUCCCCUCUGCUGUCCCUCUGCCCGGAGAUGCUUUGGCAAACCACAGGAUCACCGAAUCACCAAAGAAUGGUUGGGGUUGGAAGGGACCUCCGGAGAGCCUCUAGUCCAGCCUCCCUGCUCAAGCAGGGUCCCCUAGAGCAGCUUAGUCAGCACCCUGUCCAGGUGCCUUUGCAAUAGCUCCAAGGAUGGAGCCUCCACAACGUCUCUGGGCAACCUCUUGCAGUGCUCUGGCACCCUCACACGAGGAAAGUUGUU